AAAAUUUGGGCUGCAGGAACCAAAAGAUUGGCUACAGACACAAGAGACACUAUGCACACUAUGAAGUGUGUUGUGGCUGCUUUGUUCAGUCUGUUGUCCCUGGGACAGACAUAUGAUGAGAGGAGCUGUGACAGUCUGAUGGAGCCCAUACAAGUCAGCAACCAAGAAAUUCUGGGGAAGUGGAUGUACAUCGGAGCCAGCUCUGUGAUCCCUGGGAGUCGAUCUCUGGGCCGCCUUCUGGACAGUGUGUGGCUGGACAUCACAGCCACCAGUCAGAGCAACACCCUCAACAUUGUUCAGACUCAGAGGGUAAAGUAUGGCAGCUGUUGGACCAUCACGUAUAACGUGACCUUUGAAAGGAGCAUAAUGCUGAUUGGUGAGGAAAGACAAUCCACUGUCAGGAUGUUUGGAGGGAAGAACAGGUUUUAAAUACUCAUGUUGUCUCUCUUUCUUUGUGUGUGUGUUUGGACAGAGCAACCAUUCUACCUGAAAGAAGUCUACCUCCCAACCAUCUGCUCUGACUGCCUGGUUGCCUGGGAGGACGUUAUAGUGGGG
rnacentral:lncRNA from 1 species